UCUGUUCUCCGGGCCGCCACCGCCCCUUGGGGGUGGGGCCCGGGUGUUGGGUGCGCCGUCCCCCGGGGAUCUCCCGAUGGGAGGACGGGCCCGAAAUGCAGCGGCGGUGCCGUGUCCGGUCCUGGAGCGUUAUGGGGCGUCUGUCACCCGCUCGAGAAGGGGGCCCUGGACCCGGUCGCUGGCCUUGUGUGUGGACGUUCGAAUCACAUCC
rnacentral:misc_RNA from 1 species